AUGAGUAGCUUCACAAUCCUCAACUGGAACGUGCGGGGCCUUAAUGACCGCGCCCGUAGAGCCACUGUUCGCACAGUGGUUGAUCAAGCUAGGUGCUCUUUAGUCUGCCUACAAGAGACCAAGCGAGAGGUUUUCCCCACCACUGAGAUCUCUGAAGCUAUUGGGCCGAGACUAUCUGAGCACGCCAUCCUCGCGGCCGCUGAAACUCGCGGUGGUGUCCUCCUUGCUUGGGACCCGGAUCUAUUCCAGGUUACAAGCACAGACGUCUCCCCCUUCGCCAUCACCGUUUCCCUGUGUCCUAGAACGGGAGACGCGCCCUGGUCGCUCACCACGGUGUACGGGCCGUGUGACGACGACGCUAGGCUUCUGUUUCUGGCAGACCUUGCUCGCAUCCGCUCUAUCACGCUUGGGCCGUGGGUGAUUAUAGGUGAUUUUAACCUCAUCUACGAGGCUAGGGACAAGAACAACUCCAACCUCAACCUCCGGAUGAUGCGGCGCUUCCGUGACACGCUGAACCGCAGUGAGCUCAAGGAAAUAAACUAUCUGGCCGGCGGUUCACUUGGUCGAAUGAGCAGGCUAACCCCAUGCUGGUUCGUUUGGAUAGGGCGUUCUGCGACCCGGAUUGGGACCUCAGAUUCUCCAACUCUCGACUGCUGCCGCUUGCCACUGCCAUGUCCGAUCAUUGCCCCUUACUACUAA
rnacentral:rRNA from 1 species